rnacentral:tRNA from 1 species
GCCGAAGUGGCGGAAUUGGCAGACGCGCUGGAUUCAAAAUCCAGUGUCCGUAAAGGACGUGAGGGUUCGAGUCCCUCCUUCGGCACCU